rnacentral:rRNA from 1 species
GAUGAACGCUGGCGGCGUGCCUAAUACAUGCAAGUCGAGCGAACAGACGAGGAGCUUGCUCCUCUGACGUUAGCGGCGGACGGGUGAGUAACACGUGGAUAACCUACCUAUAAGACUGGGAUAACUUCGGGAAACCGGAGCUAAUACCGGAUAAUAUAUUGAACCGCAUGGUUCAAUAGUGAAAGACGGUUUUGCUGUCACUUAUAGAUGGAUCCGCGCCGCAUUAGCUAGUUGGUAAGGUAACGGCUUACCAAGGCAACGAUGCGUAGCCGACCUGAGAGGAUGAUCGGCCACACUGGAACUGAGACACGGUCCAGACUCCUACGGGAGGCAGCAGUAGGGAAUAUUCCGCAAUGGGCGAAAGCUUGACGGAGCAACGCCGCGUGAGUGAUGAAGGUCUUCGGAUCGUAAAACUCUGUUAUUAGGGAAGAACAAAUGUGUAAGUAACUAUGCACGUCUUGACGGUACCUAAUCAGAAAGCCACGGCUAACUACGUG